rnacentral:lncRNA from 7 species
CCACCCUCCUAGAAAAUGCCCUUCAGCGACGCAAUAAUUCAUUCACUCAACACGAGGUACGACUGGCGAAGAAGGAGGAUGACCUCAUGAAGGGGGUCCAUCAGCUAGAGGCAACACUGGCGACACUAGGCACCUAGGCGGCGUUGGAGGCAACCUAUAAGGCGCUUGAAGAUCUCCAGGCAGAGCAGCGCACAAGGGUCCAGUGGAUCGUUGAUGGGGCUAGCGAAGCGAGCAUGUCUCUGGUGCCACUUGGGAUUAUUCCCAUCCAAAUGGCAGGGUCGCCCGCUUCGAUCACCGACGCCCUCUCUGUGCUGGACUCCACCGCCGAGCAACUCCUGUGUCUGGACCAAACCCUCGGUGUCCGUCUCGAAGCUGAGGGUCGCGAGCUUUGCAGGCGGUGGAGGAACACAUUCUUAUAUUUUUUCAGAGUCACAACCCAUCCGUCUCCUUUGCUCCAUUUGUCUAGGGUCUAGUGGCAGUGGCAGAGGUUGCAACCCAGGAGAGCAUCCAUGAUGUCAUGGAGCUCGUUGCUGCUGGAUUCCGGCGUGACCCUGCGGAUGUGGAAGAGCCAGACCAACAAGGAUACAAGGGACCCAUCGGGCCAUCACAACAGUAG